rnacentral:rRNA from 1 species
UACAGAGGGUGCAAGCGUUGUCCGGAAUCACUGGGCGUAAAGGGCGCGUAGGUGGCCUGAUAAGUAGGAGGUGAAAUCCUGGGGCUUAACCUCAGGGCUGCCUUCUAGACUGUCCGGCUCGAGCACAGUGGAGGCAGGUGGAAUUCCCGGUGUAGCGGUGGAAUGCGUAGAGAUCGGGAAGAACAUCGGUGGCGAAGGCGGCCUGCUGGGCUGUUGCUGACACUGAGGCGCGGCAGCGUGGGGAGCAAACAGG